UAUACAUACAUUAGAAUCCGGUUAUAACGACUCCGCUUAUAGUGUCCGUCCGGUUAUUGUGACGAAAAGUCGAUGGUUUGGUUGGUCCCCAUACAAACUUACAUAUAUGAAAGGGCCUCCGCUUAGUAUGUCUCCGCUUUUAGCGACAAACCGCUUAUACCGACGAAAUUUUUCACAAUACAACUGGAUAUUGCGACGAACAAAAAAAAAAUACAUCGAAAUAAUGCCAACAAAUUGAAGUAUCAAACGACGCUGUCAUAAAUGUAUGCAUUUAUCAAUGAUUGGCACUCUUGCUUGUGUGCGUAGGAGCGACACGAAGGUUCUAAUAUUCUCACUACUCUCUGUUAGUUUUAGCUGACGCCUUAGCUUAUACUAAGGAACAUGCAGGUAUACGAUUUAUUAUGGAAAAACCAUGCUAUUAAAUUAAAUUUAUAAAUUUUUUGUUAUGUUCAAAAAUUAAUUUGUUUUAUCUUAAAAACCUAUUACGAACAUGGCAACCAUAAAAAAAAAACAAAACAAAAAUUAAUUUUGCUCCUUUCGGUUAGUGCGUCUUCCGGGUAUAACGACGUCGGUCCCUUGAAAGUCGCUAUAAUCGGAAUCUACUGUAUUAUUAUAAUAGAAUUUUAUACAAAGUUAUGGCAUAUGCUAAUUAGUUCUACUUUAUAGAAUCUCGUAUCUAUGUCAAAGUCUAAUGGAAGCAGUUGUUAACAAAUUUUUUACUUAAGCGAGGGCCAACAGAAACUUACGCUAGUUACUCUUUCUUCUCAUUACCACUCUAAUAUAAGGAUCAUCUCUUUCGCAUUGAUCAGAUUUCUCGAUAUAAAAAGAGCAUUGCUAGAAAAAGAGUAAUUAAACAAUCAUAGAAAUAACUGUCAAAGUCUAACGGAACAAGUUGCUAGUAAAAAUAGUACCUUAGCAAAGUCUAACACAAGCAAUCAAAAGUUUUUUUUCGAUAAAACCGUACGGAUUGACUUUUUUAAGAACCGUCGUGAAUCAAUCACUUUAAAGCUGCCUACAACAUAACGCUCUCGAAUCGGGAAAUUAAGAUGGCAUACCAGACACUAUGGUUGCUUCUCGACGGUCAGUUCGAGUUAAUCUACACGCCACUUGGAACGAUACACUUGAUGUCCUUGGAUCUGCGAUGCGAACAGCGUGAGCAACCUUUGGGCAGCAUUACGCCGACGUUCAAAGAGACGGAACCGACGCGUUUUGUGCAUGCGCCCAUGGGGAGUCGAACCCAGAGACAGAAGUGGUCACUGUUGGGGAUGAUGAUGAUGAUGAUGAUGAUUGCGUUAUCAUUGAAGAAAAAAUAGAAAUCAUAGAAAUUAAAGACGAGGAUGACUAGGAGGUGGACCCCCUCGCUAUAUGAUAUAGAAGGGUUCGAAUCCCGAUCGGUGGUGCUCGAGUUAAAAUCCCAAUCGACAAUACAUGCAUAUUUUUGUUUUUUUUUAAUAUUUUG